AAAAUAUUGGGUCAGUUGAACCCAUCGAGCUAAUAAGCUACAUUUGCCAUUGAGUAGAUCAAGGGACAAAAUAGUCUGUUUAGCAGAUUAAUUUACCUAUACACAAAUCAAAAUAUAAUACAACAAAGAAUAUCCAAAAUAUCAAAACCUAAAGCAAUUCAGAUAAGUGAUCAUCUUUCCCCCAACAAUGAUUCAAGAAGUGCAGCCUCUUCUUCCACUAAGGCGUUAAAUUCAGUCUCCUCGUCUAUGGCGCUGAUGAUGGCCGGGUCUUCCAAGAGUUCAUCAUCAGCAAUCUGCAAUAGACCAUCUUUGCCCUUCACUGCAACAAAGAGAAGUGGGUCCGAAGGUGUAUAAAUCAUAUAGUGGGAACCAUCCAUGUGGAAGCAUGUAAUUUCUAUUCCUUCACUUGGCAAGCCAUCUACAUCAUCACCAUCAUCUGUUCUAAAUUCAAAUAUGUCAUCCUCUGUGUAGCAACAUCCUCCUCGUGCUGUGUAACAGAAUCCACUGUACACCAGAUGCAUGUGUAUCUUGGCUAGAGCAUAGGCUGCAGUGGGUAGGAUAGCUUCAACUUCUUCAUCGCUUACAGCAGACCACCCCUCGACAUUUGUGCUCUUUAAGAUCUGAACAGGCAUAUCAACAGGACAAAGUAAUAGACAUUCAUCUCCUCGUGUGCUUCUAAAAACCCUCCUGAUGACACAUUCCAAUGGGAAAUUGUUGGUAGAAUCAACGAUUGUAGCAAUACGCUUAUUGGAAGCCAUGAGAACUCUGCCCUGCUCAUCCAAAACAAACCCAGCUGGGGGUUUAGGUAGCGGCAAAGGAUGGUACGUCUCAGAAGACUGUACCCCUUUUUCUUCAACUUCAACAUCGCUUUCGAAAUUGGAAAUGGGUUUCUUUUUCUUCUUAGUAUUAUUGGUAGAUGUACGUUUCUUCACUGGUCCAGUUUGUUGUUUCGCUGCAGAGCAAGAUAAUGAUGAAAAUUUUAGUGCAUUUUCUCUGUAAUUUUUGUUGAAAUAAGAAGAUUGGAUUGGGAAUAGAUGGGUAAUUUGGGAAUUGAAUGAUGAAGAAUUUGGGAAAAUUGCAGA
rnacentral:misc_RNA from 1 species